GUUUCCAGAGAAAGAUAUACUCGAUGUGUACGUUAAUUCGAAUCGCUCGUCGUACGUACAAUACACGGCAUCUUGCGCGGAGCCACUGUAGCCGGCCGUAGUUCAUCAGUGGCAUUUUACGCGGAGCCACUUUAGUCGACCGUAGCACGUUGGUGGUAUUUUGUGGAGAGCGACCGUAGUCGGUCGUGGCAACGAAAGAAUUAAUCCGUAUUUUCUCUGCAAUAACAUUACGAAUAUUUUUUCUUGGAAAUAUAUAUGUAUAUAUAUAUAUUUUACACAGUUUUACAUAGAAAAUCCUUGGAACGAAUUGCUUUAAUGUGAUCUGCUUGAUACAAACGCGUUUCAAACAUUUUAUCCGAUGAUUUGUGCGUUUCUUUUACGUAUAAUCGCAGCGUAUGAAAAUAAUCUGUCAAGACUUUUUUUAUUGAAGGAUAUCCGUCUAAAAUACUUAAAUUUCGUUGUUGUUCGCACAAUAGUGGUACGGGAAAUUUAAUACUUGUCGAAUACUCGAUAAAUAUAAAUAUCCAGAUAUUCUAAAGAACAAUCUCAAAGAUAAGCUGAGAAUAUUGGAGGCCUUCUACUUUCAACAUAUCCAGCGUGGAUCGUGAAAAAAUGGAUCGUAUAUUCCAUAUGUUAAAUAUUCCAGUGCAGAAUCCAGAUAUAAAUCCCAUCGAGAAUUUAUGGGUUGAAAUAGAGCGAAAAAUUAAAUAAAUUUCAAAUAUCUUCAAAGCGGAUGUUUAAAGAAAAAAAAAUUAUAAAAAUAUGAAAUUCCAUCGAAUGUACAAUAAUUUUACAAAAUCAUAGUGAUGGAAAAUGAGAGAAAUUAUUACCAUCAAACGUGAUACAAUGGAAUAUUAAUGUUAAAUAACAUCACGUAUACGAAGCGUUCGAAUACUUUUCUAACCUAUUAACAUGUUGCAGAUGUUCCUCGUGGGUGAAGAGGUAUUCGGUCGAAAUGGAGGAAAACUCGAAGAACGGAAGCUCGUAAGCCCAACAAAAUGGCAUGCGGCGAAUCUUUUCCAAGAUGCAUCGACCGAGAAGAGAAUUCGACGAUAUGUCACGUCUUGAUCCAAACGGUGUCGCCGUGGCAGCGAGAGAGAGAGAGAAAGAGAGAGAUAGAUAAACAGAGAAAGAAAGAGAAAGAAAGAGAGGUGUCCUCGCGGCAAACACGAUGGAAUCUCCGGCUGGAAUUCGCCAAUAAAUGGAAUCUAUCCGAUCCUUUUUUCCUCUCCAAGUGACAUUCAGUGUUUCUCGAGAUCCCCAGAGUUGAUGAAAAAAAAGGCUCAUGGAUUAGCGAGGAUUUAUCGAGAUCCCUUUUCUCUUCGAAAGGAAGGGAAGUCAUCUUCCAAAUCAUUCUUUGAACAUCGAUUCGAAGCGUAAUUUUGAAUAAGUAGAGUACAAAUCUGCACCAAUUCCAUUUUUCUCUCUUUCCCUAAGUAAACGAGAUUUCUUUAACACGUCGACUGCCGCACGUGUUUCCAACGAAAUUCUCCUUCAGGCCACAUGGUGCGCCACUGUAGCCAAGUCUACUUUGCUAAAUACUCCCACCGAUGCUUUACUGACGCGAGUCGCUGUUGCUCACAAGAAUAAUCUGUCAUAUCAUUUGUUUCGAUCAUUAUAUGAGCUGAGGUUUCUCACUUGUCUCACACAAUUCGAACGUGUGUAACGAGCGGUAUAAUUGUUAAAAUUUCUCCCCUGAUUCUAUUCCAAUGUCGAAAAAAGAAAAAUGGAAAAGUUAUGGCUUAGUGAAUCGUGCAAUGGCGUAUAACGGAUAACUUUUUGUCCAAACCAACUUCUAGUCAAAUAAGCGUUAUUCGAAUAUAGAUGGCGCGGCAGUCGACGUAUUAAAAACGUCUAUCCUUUAUCUUGUUACCAAAUCGCAGAGGUUAGAUUGUAUUAAUUUGAUCGAAAGAAUUAUAAUAAUCGCGAAGUUAUAAUAAUAUUAUAAUAAUAUCCAACUCGUCCACAGAAUAAUUCACAAAUCCAUCGAUUCUUAAACAACAAUUCAUAAUAUCAACUCUUAAUAUCAAGAUAAUUUUUACCUUUCUUCUAUCCUUUCUCCUGUUCCAAUACUUUUCCUCAUUCUAUUCGAAACGAUCGAAAUGCCAAUUUCCUUUUAAACCUAGCUUCGAAUAACGUAGAAUCGAAGAUUUUUACCUGUUCGAAAGGAAGGAAGGAAGGAAGGAAACGGGCGCUGGAUGAUUUCCGAGCAGAUCCCUGAUCCGCUCGAAACCUAAUUGCCCUCGUCAAAUAUUUGCCAGCGCCCGUUUUUCUUCCCGUUUCCCGACGCUAAUUAAAUACACGAAUCACGGUGUAACCGCGCGGUUUACAUAACGGGAAAUCGGGCGAAAAUCGGUGCUCGCCUGUUUGGACGAACGGCGAACAGACAGAGAGAGAGAUAGAGAGACAGAGUUUGAACAACGCUAGCGUAACGCGAACGUCAUACAGAAAUCGUCUGAUUUGGAAACUGAAACUUCCCUCUCUCCUUCCCUCUCUCGAAUAAGAAGAGAGAUUUGAGGAAAAGAGAUCGAAAAGAAAUUUGUUCAAGAUCGUUUUUUCCCCUUCGCCUCGUAAAGACGAAUUUAAACGGGCGUGGAAAUUUCUGUUCUGAAGUAGCUUUUUUCAUAGUUUCACUUGAACUUGAAUCUCGAGAGAAAGAGAGAGAGAAAAAAGUUAUUUGUUCAAGGUCGUUCUUUUCGCCGUUUGGCAAACUUAAAAAGGCAUUGGAGCGCGAGUGAAGUGGAAAUUUGUUCAAGGUCGCUUUUUUCCGGCAAAUCUCUCUCUUUCUUUAAGUUUCAAGUCUCGAGAGAGAGAGAGAGAGAGAUGUAGAGACUUUUGAAGCGAGUGAUACAGUGGAAAUUCCUUUCUUUCCUUCAAGUUCAUAAACAAACUUAUAAACUCUGUAAUUUUUACAAUAAUCCCUUUCCCCUUCUUUCCUUUUUCUUCCUCUUUUCUCCUCUCCUCGCAAUUACAACUUAUUAAAAUCGUAUCCCAUCCGUGACUCGUCCGAAGAAUAUUCUACACAGAGAUAUAUAUUCGGACACGAAACAGAGAAAAUGCGCUCUUGUCUUGUAUUUCCGAGAGAAAGAGAGAGAAAGGAAACGGCGUUCAGAACGGACGUUUGGAAAGCAUUGCGGAGGGAGAGGGAAGGGAGAGGGGGGUCGUAGCCGCGCGCAUCAGGCGCGGAACUCGAGAGAGUUUAUCGGGCGCGAAAGGGCAGUCGGUCCGACUUCUCGCGCUCCGACUAGAAGUGUAUAGGCGAAGCUAGAGAACCUAUUAUACGCGCUAUACCCCGAGAACGACGAUUUUACAACCGAUUAAACUUCGGCUCAUUGGAUAUUACGCCGGCGUCUCCCCUUGCGACGGUGUUAACUGGAAAAGCCAACGUAUGCUCUCUCCUUUGGGAGAUACCCGUUCUCCCCUCCCUCCCGCACGGAAACUCGGCUCCUCGCUUUCCUCGCGUAAAUAUUCCAAAAUGGAAUGAUCGAAUUUUCGAAACGAAGGAAAAUAGUUGUGCAAAAUAGUUUUUUGUAUGCACGUGUAUUUUCACCUUUUCUUCUUUUCACUGAAAUUUUAUUUGUGGUUUUAUUAUUCAACGUUGCCAGCAACACCACUAUUUCAUAGUUGAUACCUAUUUGUAUUUCUUCGAUACACAUACUUCCAUUGUUUUGUAAACAAAUAUGCGCAAUUACGUAUAAUUAAAUAUAUUCAUUCAGUC